rnacentral:rRNA from 1 species
UACGUAGGGGGCAAGCGUUGUCCGGAAUCAUUGGGCGUAAAGAGCGUGUAGGCUGCCCGGUAAGUCCGCUGUGAAAGUCCAGGGCUCAACCCUGGGAUGCCGGUGGAUACUGUCGGGCUCGAGUCCGGAAGAGGAGUGUGGAAUUCCUGGUGUAGCGGUGAAAUGCGCAGAUAUCAGGAAGAACACCCGUGGCGAAAGCGGCUCUCUGGAACGGUACUGACGCUGAGACGCGAAAGCGUGGGGAGCGAACAGG